UACGUAGGGUCCGAGCGUUGUCCGGAAUUACUGGGCGUAAAGAGCUCGUAGGUGGUUUGUCGCGUUGUUCGUGAAAACUCACAGCUUAACUGUGGGCGUGCGGGCGAUACGGGCAGACUGGAGUACUGCAGGGGAGACUGGAAUUCCUGGUGUAGCGGUGGAAUGCGCAGAUAUCGGGAGGAAUACCAGUGGCGAAGGCGGCUUUCUGGGCCAA
rnacentral:rRNA from 1 species